UACGAAGGGGGCUAGCGUUGCUCGGAAUUACUGGGCGUAAAGGGAGCGUAGGCGGACAGUUUAGUCAGAGGUGAAAGCCCAGGGCUCAACCUUGGAAUUGCCUUUGAUACUGACUGUCUUGAGUAUGGGAGAGGUUAGCGGAACUCCGAGUGUAGAGGUGAAAUUCGUAGAUAUUCGGAAGAACACCAGUGGCGAAGGCGGCUAACUGGCCCAUUACUGACGACUGAGGCUCGGAAAGCGUGGGGAAGCAAACAGGG
rnacentral:rRNA from 1 species